rnacentral:rRNA from 1 species
GAAUUGGCCCUUGUAGUCAUAUGCUUGUCUCAAAGAUUAAGCCAUGCAUGUCUAAGUAUAAGCAAUUAUACCGUGAAACUGCGAAUGGCUCAUUAAAUCGGUUAUCGUUUAUUUGAUAGUACCUUACUACUUGGAUACCCGUGGUAAUUCUAGAGCUAAUACAUGCAAAAAACCCCGACUUCGGGAGGGGUGUAUUUAUUAGAUAAAAAACCAAUGCCCUUCGGGGCUCUUUGGUGAUUCAUGAUAACUUAACGGAUCGCAUGGCCUUGCGCCGGCGACGGUUCAUUCAAAUUUCUGCCCUAUCAACUUUCGAUGGUAAGGUAUUGGCUUACCAUGGUUUCAACGGGUAACGGAUUUUUAGGGAAAGAUCCCGGAGAGGGAGCCUGAGAAACGGCUACCACAUCCAAGGAAGGCAGCAGGCGCGCAAAUUACCCAAUCCCGACACGGGGAGGUAGUGACAAUAAAUACUGAUACAGGGCUCUUUUGGGUCUUGUAAUCGGAAUGAGUACAAUUUAAAUACCUUAACGAGGAACAAUUGGAGGGCAAGUCUGGUGCCAGCAGCCGCGGUAAUUCCAGCUCCAAUAGCGUAUAUUAAAGUUGUUGCAGUUAAAAAGCUCGUAGUUGAACCUUGGGCCUGGCUGGCCGGUCCGCCUCACCGCGUGUACUGGUCCGGCCGGGCCUUUCCUUCUGGAGAACCCCAUGCCCUUCACUGGGCGUGGCGGGGAACCAGGACUUUUACUUUGAGAAAAUUAGAGUGUUCAAAGCAGGCCUUUGCUCGAAUACGUUAGCAUGGAAUAAUAGAAUAGGACGUGUGGUUCUAUUUUGUUGGUUUCUAGAACCGCCGUAAUGAUUAAUAGGGAUAGUCGGGGGCGUCAGUAUUCAAUUGUCAGAGGUGAAAUUCUUGGAUCUAUUGAAGACUAACUACUGCGAAAGCAUUCGCCAAGGAUGUUUUCAUUAAUCAGUGAACGAAAGUUAGGGGAUCGAAGACGAUCAGAUACCGUCGUAGUCUUAACCGUAAACUAUGCCGACUAGGGAUCGGGCGAUGUUUCUAUCUUGACUCGCUCGGCACCUUACGAGAAAUCAUAAGUUUUUGGGUUCUGGGGGGAGUAUGGUCGCAAGGCUGAAACUUAAAGGAAUUGACGGAAG